CAGUACCGCGGUAAUACAGAGGGUGCGAGCGUUAAUCGGAUUUACUGGGCGUAAAGCGUGCGUAGGCGGCUUCUUAAGUCGGAUGUGAAAUCCCUGAGCUUAACUUAGGAAUUGCAUUCGAUACUGGGAAGCUAGAGUAUGGGAGAGGAUGGUAGAAUUCCAGGUGUAGCGGUGAAAUGCGUAGAGAUCUGGAGGAAUACCGAUGGCGAAGGCAGCCAUCUGGCCUAAUACUGACGCUGAGGUACGAAAGCAUGGGGAGCAAACAGGAUUAGAUACCCCUGUAGUCCCUGUCUCUUAUACC
rnacentral:rRNA from 1 species